UCUAAAUAUUACCUUAUUAUCAUUCACAUAGUGAGAGAGUUGUUAAUCAUGGCUGCUUAUGGAGCUCUGGUUUCUCUUAUGCAUAUCAUCGAUACCCUCGAGAAACAUCCUUCUCCUCCCAUUUCUAUCGACGAAAAACAAGUUCAAUCCCUCACUCAAAACAUUACCUUCUUGCAGGAGUUUCUUGAUUGCUAUAUUUCCCCUUUUGCUGAUAGCCACGAAGCGGAUCCAUUAGAGCGUCGCAUUGCUGAUGCAGUUUACGCAGCUGAGGAUGUUAUCGAAUCCCGUAUUGUGGAUCAAAUUCACAGUGGAUCCACAAUCGUUGAAGAUCAUGACUUCUAUCACAAUCUACAGAAAGUGAUAGAAGAAAUGGAUCUGAUCAACAAAGAGGUGAAGAGCAUUGCUGUUGAAGCUCAGACCAAGCAGAAGCCCGUUGCUGCCUUCUCGGCGUCUUCUCCCACUGUGAAAGAGAACGUGAUCGUGGGCUCUGACGAGGUGUUUCUUGAAGUUUUGGAUAAGCUCACCAGUGAUCAACUCAACCGCCAGAUCAUCCCCAUCACGGGGAUGGGUGGCAUUGGUAAGACCACUCUUGCCAUGAAACUAUUCGAGAAUGCACUUGUUAAGGAUCGUUUUGAUAUUCGUGCUUGGACUACAAUCUCUCAAACUUAUAAUGUUAGAGAAACACUUAGAGAAGUUCUUUUUCGAGCUAGUGGAGGAGAUUCAAGUAGUGAUCUGAGUGAGAAUGAGUUGGGAGAAAAAUUACACAAGUUUCUGUUCGGUAGGAGAUAUCUCGUAAUAAUAGAUGAUAUGUGGAGCAUAGAGGCGUGGGAGAAGAUAAAAAAUUUCUUUCCUGAUAACCAAAAUGGGAGUCGAAUAAUCGUAACAACUAGGCUGUCUGACUUGAGUUCUAAGUUGAACGAGACUUGUAUAAUUGGCAUGAAAUUUCUAGAUGAGGCUAGUAGUUGGGAUUUAUUUUGUAAGACCGUGUUCGGGAAAGUAAGUUGUCCAAUUGAGUUGGAGAAGAUUGGAAAGAAUAUUGUAGCAAAUUGUAAAGGACUUCCUUUAUCAACUGCUACAAUAGGAGGUCUAUUGGCAAAAUCUGAGCGCACAAAAGAAUGUUGGGAGCGUAUAGAGCAAAAUUUAAAUUCAAUUGUUAUUAACAGUAACGAUGGAUUUUGCUUGAAAAUAGUGAGGAUGAGCUAUAUCUAUCUGCCGAACUAUUUAAAGCCAUGCUUUUUGUAUAUGGGUGUUUUUAAGGAAGAUUACCGUAUCCGUGUGUCAAUGCUUGAGAAGUUAUGGGUUUCUGAAGGAUUUUUAAAACCAAGGAAUGGAAAAUGUUUGGAAACACUUGCGCAAGAGUAUUUUAAGGAAUUGGUUGAUAGAAAUCUCGUUUUAGUUGAUGAAUUGGGGUCUACUGGAAACGUUAAGUAUUGUAAAAUUCAUGAUUUGUUGAGAGAUAUGUGUUUAAAAGAAGCUGAAAAGGAAAGAUUUUACCAUGUUACAAGAGAUGAUCCUCCAGCCAGUAUUAGCGAACGUCGAGUCGUUCUUAAAACUGCAGGGUUGUUAGGAUCUUUGUCACAUACUCGCUCCAUAAUAUGUGAGUACGACGAAACAUCAAGUGAGGAUAAGACAGCAAGUGAGGAUGAUAAAGUUCUUCUGACUCGCAAUCUUAGAUUGUUGAGGACAUUCAGGGCAUAUGUUUCUGCUUUUAACAAUAAUGAUUAUUUCCUAGAGAAUGUGUUUGAAUUGGUGAACUCACGGUACCUUGCUAUCCGUGUUCAUGAUGAGUCCAGAUUCUCUAGUUCAAUUGGUCUCCUUUGGAAUCUACAGACAUUGAUUAUUCGUUCAUCCCCUCCGAACAAUCUUCAUGUACCAAACGAAAUUUGGAAACUGCAUCAACUUCGGCAUCUUGAAUUUAGGAUACGCGAAUUGAUUCUCCCAGAUCCUUCUGGUAGUGAGGCUGUUGUCAUGGAGAAUCUGCAGACACUCAGAGGAGUGACGAAUUUGUUAUUGAAUGAGGAGAUGGUUAAAAGAAUUCCUAAUGUGAAGAAAUUGCGUCUAACUCGCACUUCGAAUCAAAUGGAGGGAGAAAAUUAUCUUCAUUGCUUGAGUAAAUUGGAAAACUUUUACUUCUCCAUCUUUCGAGAUUGUGAUGACUUUUUGCUGAGGAUUAAGUUCCCCAACUCUAUCAAGAAGUUGUUUGUUAGCGCCAUUUAUGCCACGGAGUUGGAACACAUAUUGCCUAAAUUCGGUUCAUUACCUCUUCUUGAGAAGCUCGUAUUAAAAAAUGGUGUCUUCAAAACAGGCAAGUGGGAAACAAUUGAAGGCCAGUUCCAGAAGCUCAAGUUUCUACAGUUGUUUGGAUGUAGAGGUCUAGUAAAUUGGAUUGUGUCAGACAGCUCCCACUUUCCACUUCUCCAGAAGCUUACUCUCGAAUAUUUAUCCGAACUCGAGGAAAUCCCAUCUGAAGUUGGAGAAAUAGCAACGCUGAAAUCGAUUUCGUUGGAUAAGUGUAGUGAAGCAGCUGUGGCGUCAGCGAAAAAGAUAGUAGAAGAACAUGAGGAUCUAUUUGGAGAGCAAUUAGACCUUCUUGUCAUGCGGAGAUAGCUUAGAAUGCAAUUUGGUAAACAUUGUACUGCAAAAGAGUCUUGUUUGGUUCCUCUCAUUGUGGAGCUGAGUGAGGCCAGACCCGAGGGACAGAGAAGAGGGAGAAUGGCCAGAGAUUGGUGGCGGCGUGGAGGGAGUCGAUGGCGGGGGAGGGAGAUUCUUCCAUGGCUAUACAUAGUAGCAAAUAAAUGGAAAUAUACACUCUUGCGGCGCAGAUCAUCGAUCAUCCACUUGAGGUAUUCGGCUUUGCCCGGGUCCUCGCACUGUAUGAGGGCGUGGUGCGUGUCCAACAACGUCCUCCGGUUGGCGGCCGCCACCAACUCCGCGUAGGCAUGUCCCACAACCGAAGUCGGGGUCGGGGCCGGGGCCUGUGAGGAUGUCGCCUUCGCCUUGCCAUUGUUCUUGGCAGCCUUGCUGCCGAUGGGACGCCGGGAGGACAUCGGUGUGCCGGAACUCUCAUCCUCGUACAUCGGCUGGUUGAGGUCCAUCGGAGUUGCACCGCUGUUGCUGCUCGUAUAAUCAUCGGUGGCGGUGUUCUUCGUCCACUUCGCCGUAGCCGAUAGGGGCAAAAUCCCUCCUUGGAACUUCUGCUUGUCCUUCAAGAAGAGUUAGGAGCUGUAAUGCUUGAAAUCGUCGUACAAUGAAAUGUACGACUCAAGCGCUCUAUCGCGCACAUCAGUCAAACUCUCGCCGCUGCCCUGCUCCCUCAAGCACUUCUCGUACUCCGACGAGAACAAAUUGACCUGCUUCUUCACCUGAUCCCAGUGCUUGCGGAGCUGCUCCUUAUGGCGCUUGUAGAUGGCCGACGGCUUGGCCUCAUUGUAGCGAUCAGCGAUGCGCUCACAGUACACUAUUUGCUUUUGGUUGUUGGCAAACACCGGGUCCUCUGAAAUAUCGAUCCAACCCCUCGUCAAGAUGAUGGUUUCGUUCGGGUUGUAGUUCGUCCUCCUUGGGGCGAACUCUUCAUUCUUCUCCGGAAGAGGCAACUUUUGGGCCCUUUGUCUGUUUCGCUUCUUCUUGGUAGCGGAGCCGAGGCGGCAGCGGC